GGCGGGGCGGGGCGGGGCGGGCGGGGGGGCGGGGCGGGCCCGGCCCGCGAGGCCGCGCCGGGGCGCUCACACCUGUGUCUUCCUCAGAGCGAGUUGCGCUGCAGAGCCAGUCGGGCUGGGUGCCACUGCUGCUGGCGCUGCUCCACGAGCUGCAGGCCCCGGCCUCACGCUGGAGGCCCUACUUUGCGCUCUGGCCCGAGCUGGGCCGCUUGGAGCACCCGAUGUUCUGGUGAGAGCCUUGGGAGGGGUUGGGGAGCGCCUGCACCGUAGCCUGCUGCAAGAACAGUUUCCCCGCCCCUGCACCAGUCCUACCCAGUAAAGUGUGUGAAGGAAUGAAGGGAACCUGGGUGUGGGUGUCCCUGCAGGCCAGAGGAGGAGCGCCGGUGCCUGCUCCAGGGCACAGGCGUACCUGAGGCCGUGGAGAAGGAUUUGGCCAACAUCCGCAGCGAGUACCAGUCCAUCGUGCUGCCCUUCAUGGAAGCCCACCCCGAUCUCUUCAGCCUCAGGGUUCGCUCCCUAGAACUCUACCACCAGCUGGUGGCCCUUGUGAUGGCCUAUAGCUUUCAGGAACCACUGGAGGAAGAAGAGGAUGAAAAGGAGCCCAACUCCCCCGUGAUGGUGCCUGCUGCAGACAUACUAAACCACUUAGCCAAUCACAACGCCAAUCUAGAAUACUCUGCGGUGAGUGGAGUUCCUAUUGGUGCACUGAUUGAGCAUGAUUCAAGCCAUUGUGUCUUAGGCUCCAUUCUCUUACUAGUGCUACAAAAUGAGUAGGUGAAAUCAACUCCUCCUGUAUGUCCUUUCAGUAUGCAUAUUACUGUAGAAUCAUUUGAAUGCGAAACAUUUUAAAGUCCUCUAAGUUGUGGUUAAUCCUCUGAUAAACUAUACUACCAUCAUUUAUUUAGUGCUAGACAUUGAGUGGUCUUCAUAGCCAUGUUU
rnacentral:sRNA from 1 species